rnacentral:rRNA from 1 species
CAGUAGCCGCGGUAAUACGAAGGGGGCUAGCGUUGUUCGGAAUUACUGGGCGUAAAGCGCACGUAGGCGGAUAUUUAAGUCAGGGGUGAAAUCCCAGAGCUCAACUCUGGAACUGCCUUUGAUACUGGGUAUCUUGAGUAUGGAAGAGGUGAGUGGAAUUCCGAGUGUAGAGGUGAAAUUCGUAGAUAUUCGGAGGAACACCAGUGGCGAAGGCGGCUCACUGGUCCAUUACUGACGCUGAGGUGCGAAAGCGUGGGGAGCAAACAGGAUUAGAGACCCCAGUAGUCCCUGUCUCUUAUAC